GUGUCAGCAGCCGCGGUAAUACGUAGGCAGCGAGCGUUGUUCGGAGUUACUGGGCGUAAAGGGUGUGUAGGCGGUUCUUUAAGUUUGGUGUGAAAUCUCCCGGCUUAACCGGGAGGGUGCGCCGAAUACUGAGGAACUAGAGUGCGGGAGAGGAGAGUGGAAUUCCUGGUGUAGCGGUGAAAUGCGUAGAUAUCAGGAGGAACACCGGUGGUGUAGACGGCUCUCUGGACCGUAACUGACGCUGAGACACGAAAGCGUGGGUAGCAAACAGGAUUAGAAACCCUGGUAGUCC
rnacentral:rRNA from 1 species